ensembl:snRNA U5 U5 spliceosomal RNA
ACAUCCUGGUUUAUCUUCAGAUUGAAUAAAUAUUUUGCCUUUUACUAAAGAUUUCCAUAUAGAGGAACAAUUCUGAGUUUUUGAACCAGUUUUCUGAGACCUUGUCUUUUGCGAGACU